GCCCGCUUAGCUCAGUGGUAGAGCACACGCUUCACACGCGUGGGGCCGAAGGUUCGAGUCCUUCAGCGGGCA
rnacentral:tRNA from 1 species